rnacentral:tRNA from 1 species
UCCCUGGUGAGCCAGUGGUUAAGAUUAGGCACUUUCACUGCUGUGGCUCAGGUUCAAUCCCUGAUCUGGGAA